rnacentral:rRNA from 1 species
UUGGAGGGCAAGUCUGGUGCCAGCAGCCGCGGUAAUUCCAGCUCCAAUAGCGUAUAUUAAAGUUGUUGCAGUUAAAAAGCUCGUAGUUGAAUUUCGGGAUCGACGUAAUGGUCGUGCCUUAAGGGGUAUGAACUGUUACUGUUGAUUUCUCACCUUCUGGAGAAACUUGAUGUCCUUAAUUGGGUGUCUUGCGGAUCCAGGACCUUUACCUUGAAAAAAUUAGAGUGUUUAGAGCAGGCAUUUUUGCUCGAAUACAUUAGCAUGGAAUAAUAGAAUAGGACGGCAUGGUUCUAUUUUGUUGGUUUCUAGGAUCACCGUAAUGGUUAAUAGGGAUAGUUGGGGGCAUUAGUAUUCAAUUGUCAGAGGUGAAAUUCUUGGAUUUAUUGAAGACUAACUACUGCGAAAGCAUUUGCCAAGGAUGUUCUCAUUAAUCAAGAACGAAAGUUAGGGGAUCGAAGACGAUCAGAUACCGUCGUAGUCUUAACCAUAAACUAUGCCGACUAGGAAUCAGACGAUGUUAAUUUUUUAAUGACUCGUUCGGCGCCUUACGGGAAAC